rnacentral:tRNA from 1 species
GGAAGUGUGCCCGAACACCCAAGGGUCACUAUGAUAAAGUGAACACAGAGGUACACCAAUCCUCUCACUUCCU